rfam:Triticum aestivum genome assembly, contig: Triticum_aestivum_CS42_TGACv1_scaffold_513738_6BS
AUGACCUUACUUGCACAUGAUCUGUUCUAUAGGCUCGUACUGCUGCAUCCUUUACCAAUAAGGAGGCAAGCACUUCAGUCUGGUUGAUGCAUUCUGACCUUUGGGCCAGAACGUGAUUAACGGCCAGGAUCACCUGAUGGGUGCCAUCCGAUCAGAGGAUCGUUCCUGCCUGGUACACACUGGUGCAAGGUGGCUCAGAGGUUGUUUGACAGACU